GGUACAACACUAUUAUACAUACAAAUUGGUAAGUAGAUUUUACCUACUAUUAUCAUAUUGUUAUACAUACUAAUUGGUAUGUAUACAUACUAAUUGGUAAGUCGAUUUUAUUAUUAUCAUACAUAAUAAUUGGCAAGUGGCUUUUUUGUUUUGGCUUUUUAUAUUAUUACAAUAAGUUAUUCCCUAAAUUCUUGCACAAUAUUUAUUGUGUAGAUAUUGUUAUUACCAAUUUUCACUUGGACGUUUAUUUUCUGUUUUUUACUAUUAUAAACCACACAGCUGAGAACAUCCUGGAACAUACGUCUUGGCACUUGCCUUGGUGUUUCCGUAGGUUAAAGUCUCAAAGAUGAAACUGCUGAGUCAAAUGGCGUGUAAAAAUUUAAUGUAGCCAGAUUGACCUGCAGAAACUUCCGUUUACAUACACGCUCACUAAAAUGGGGGAGAGAGCCCAGAGGGGAGUGUCUUUUCCACUGAUCUGAUUUAAUCCUAAAGUUAAGGAUAAUCGCCCAGCAAGGAAGGGUAUCUGAGUGUUAUCUCAGCAGUCCCACCUGGUGGUUUUUAAUUAGGCACACACGCAUGUGGAGGCGAAACUUUAGAACGGUUUUCUCGUGAGCUCCAGCCACGUGAAACAGUAGGACUCGCACCGACGCAGUCAGGCUGGGGGCGCAAUUUCAAAGUCUCCGUUACGCGCGUCCCUGGGGCGCCUGGGGUUUGAACCGUUGUUCCCCACAUGCUAGUCCGCUUCCCUUCCCGCUUGGCCAAAAUACCUUUUCUAAGGCACUCCCCACGUAAAUAAAUAAAUAAACAACCCAGGCUCCGUGCGCCGCGCCUCCUCCCCCGGAGGAGCGCAGGAAGACAUGAUAUCCCCGGGACCAGAAACGCCGGGAACACGAAGGACGCAGAAGCCCUCGCCACGCCGCCCGUGGGGCCCCGGUCCAGGGCCCAGUCCCUCAAACACGGACACCGCUGCCGCUCUGGAAAGGCCGCCCAGAGCCCUCCUAGCUUGAGGAGACUCGCGGCCGCCUUAAGAAGCCAGCAGGUCCCAUGGUGUAAUGGUUAGCACUCUGGACUUUGAAUCCAGCGAUCCGAGUUCAAAUCUCGGUGGGACCUCACGAGACUUUUUGGUCCUACAAUUCCUGUUUUGGAGACCGCUUCCGGCAGCAGCCACCUCGGGCUGUGUGGGUAGCCUCACUGACCUGGCCUACAGCGGCUUGGGGUCCCUCCCCCUCUCUCAAGAUGUUUUCAUUUCAGGGCCGUUCUGGGGGUGUCAGUGCGCACGCGCGAGAGUCGGGCAGAAAAAUAAAUGUGUUGAUGGGAGAGCGAACGCGACUUCACCCUGGAGGGCAGCUUCCGAAAGAACCCGAAGGAUCAGGAGGAUGCUGCUUCGGGCGGGGCAUAGCUAGGUCGGCCGGUCUAGGAGGUCCCAGGUUGCCGAGGGUGCCGUCAUGCUUCUUAUUGGCUACUGAGCAAGCGCGAUACGUUACUGCUGCCUGAGCCGCCAAUGAAGUGGCGCGACAGAACCAAGGGGCGGGGAAACGGCGCCUGCGGGACUCCAAUUGGUCACGAACAAUAACGAGGCUGCGCUCCCCAGAGGGGUGUGUUUUUGGGGUCUGGAACGCACCCUAGUGUGUUUGUCUUGGUUGUCCGGUGCUCAGUGAGGUUGUCUGUGUCUGUCAGUCAGAAAACAGGCCCUUAGGCUGUAUGCGGUGGCUCACGCCUGUAAUCCCAGCACUUUGGGAGGCCGAGGCGGGCGGAUCACCUGAAGUCAGGAGUUCGAGACCAGCCUGGCCAACAUGGUGAACCCUCGUCUCAACUAAGAAUACAAGAAUUAGCCGGGCGUGGUGACGCGCCCCUGUAAUCUCAGCUACUGGGGAGGCUGAGGCAGGAGAAUGGCUUGAACCCGGGAAGUGGAGGUUGCAGUGAGCCGAGAUCGUGCCUGUGUACUCCAGCCUGGGAGACAGAGAAAGACGUCAUCUCAAAAAAAAAAAAAAACAAAAAAACAAAAAAACAAAAAACAAACAAAAAAACAGUCCCUAGAUGCUGUAGUUGGUGAAAGAGAGAAGAGAUUAAAAGAAAGAAAGAAAGAAAGAAAACAGUCCCUUAGAUGCUGUAGCUGGUGAAAGAGGAAAGGAGAGGGAGAGAGACAGAGAGAGAAGAGGGGAGAAAGAGAGAGAGAGAGAGGGUGAGGGGGGGGAGGGGAAGAGAAGAGAAAGAAAGAAGAAAAAGAAAAACAGUCCCUUGGCUAAGGGACCGGUUCUUCAGCCCGCCAGGGCGUCUUAAGCGAGUCUUCAGACGGAUUGAGCGCGUCUCUCUGGGCGAAUCUGUCCAGGAUCCGUGUUUAGGGUGCCGAGCAGGGGCACGUGCUUUGCAGGAAAGGGCGUACCUUUAGGAUUGUAUGGGAGAGACCUGCGUGAAGCAGCUUCUUUGGAUCAGCAUCUCGGUUUUGAGAGGUGCCUGUCCCUCUAGGAUAAGUAACAAGGGAGUCCGCUGACGCAUUUAUGAUCUCCCCACAGGGUGAUUGGCACUGUGGUUAUAUGUUCCCGCCCCUUGGGAGGAUGCCAUGGAAACACAGAGGAUCCUCCCGCUGCUCUCCCACCUCUCCCCUGAGCACCCGUUCUCCCCACCCCACCCCACAGUCUCCCUAAAUGGUUGAAUGGAUCUGUGUGUAUGAGCAAUCCCAGCCUCAAAAAUACCUAGCCAUGAGACGUGGGAGGAUUUGCUCCACCAGAGCGUAAAGCUUAUUAUCAACUGCAAGCUAUAGAAAUUGAGGUAGUUCAGUACUGGUGCAAGGAUGGGAAAACAUGCCAACGCAACAGAAUAGGGAACCCAGAUUCAGCCCCACAAGUAUCUGGACAAUUGAUUUAUGACAAAGGUGGCACAACAGAGGAGUGGGUAAAAGAACUUUCUUUUCCUUUUAUUCUUUCUCUCUUUUUUCUCCUCCUCUUUCUCCUCCUCCCCCUCCUACUCCCCAUUCCUCCUCUCCCCCUCCUCCUUCUCUUUUUUUCUUCUUUUUGACAGGGUGUUGCUCUGUCGCCCAGGCUGGAGUGCAGUGGCACAAUCACAACUUACUGCAACCUCGAACUCCUGGACUCAAAUGAUCCUCCCCCCUCAGCCUCCUAAGUAGCUGGGAUGGCAGGCACGUGCCACCAUGCCCAGCUAGGGCCUACUUUUCGAUAAAUUGUUCUGGGACAAUUGAGUGUCCAUAUGGAAAAAUACGAAAUCGAAUUCCUCCCUAACUUAUAUUAAACAGAGAAAUAAAUUCCAUGUGAAUUGUAGACUUCAAUGUGAAGAAAAAACAAUAAAGCUUCUGGAAGACAACAUAGGAGACUAUCUUCAUGACCUCAAGGUCCAGCAAGGGAGAGUAUACAAUAAUGGUCAAGAGAAGGGGGUCUUGGCUGGGCGCGGUGGCUCACCCCUAUAAUCCCAGCACUUUGGGAGGCCAAAGUGGGAGGAUCGCUUGAGCCCAGGAGUUCAAGAUCAGCCUGGCCAACAUGGCGAAACCUCGUCUCUACAAAAGAUAGAAAAAUUAGCCGGGGUGAUGG
rnacentral:tRNA from 10 species